AUUGAACGCUGGCGGCAUGCUUUACACAUGCAAGUCAAACGGUAACAGGCCGCAAGGUGCUGACGAGUGGCGAACGGGUGAGUAAUGCAUCGGAACGUGCCCAGUCGUGGGGGAUAACGCAGCGAAAGCUGUGCUAAUACCGCAUACGAUCUAUGGAUGAAAGCGGGGGACCGUAAGGCCUCGCGCGAUUGGAGCGGCCGAUGUCAGAUUAGGUAGUUGGUGGGGUAAAGGCCCACCAAGCCGACGAUCUGUAGCUGGUCUGAGAGGACGACCAGCCACACUGGGACUGAGACACGGCCCAGACUCCUACGGGAGGCAGCAGUGGGGAAUUUUGGACAAUGGGCGCAAGCCUGAUCCAGCAAUGCCGCGUGCAGGAAGAAGGCCUUCGGGUUGUAAACUGCUUUUGUACGGAACGAAACGGUCUGGGUUAAUACCCUGGGCUAAUGACGGUACCGUAAGAAUAAGCACCGGCUAACUACGUGCCAGCAGCCGCAGUAACAC
rnacentral:rRNA from 1 species